rnacentral:tRNA from 1 species
GUAGCCUGUAGUCUAGUGGCUAAGGUACAGGACUGGGACCCCUGAGGUUGGUGGUUCAAGCCCCAGUCCAGCCACA